AUUGCACGCUGGCGGCAGGCCUAACACAUGCAAGUCGAGCGGAGCGGCGGACGGGUGAGUAAUACCUAGGAAUCUGCCUGCUCGUGGGGGAUAACGUUCGGAAACGGACGCUAAUACCGCAUACUCUCAGAUGAGCCUAGGUCGGAGUAGCUAGUUGGUGAGGUAAUGGCUCACCAAGGCUACGAUCCGUAACUGGUCUGAGAGGAUGAUCAGUCACACUGGAACUGAGACACGGUCCAGCAUCCUACGGGAGGAAGCAGUGGGGAAUAUUGGACAAUGGGCGAAAGCCUGAUCCAGCCAGGCCGCGUGUGUGAAGAAGGUCUGCGGGUUGUAAAGAACUUUAAGUUGGGAGGCGUUACCGACAGAAUAAGCACCGGCUAACUCUGUGCCAGCAGCCGCGGUAAUAC
rnacentral:rRNA from 1 species